CAUAUACUACUACUUGCAGGUUUCACACUGUCCAUUCUCUCUCACUCUCUCUCUCUCCUCAGUCUGACCCAAAUGGAACAUCUCUAGAGAGAGAAACUAAGGGUUGGAUUUUUUUGGUUCAGUUGCCACCACAGCCUCUGACUGUCUAGAGGGACAUUGGCUCCCCACGGAUGUGCCCAGAGCAAGAUUGUUGCACCUACUGUAAGCACAAAUCAAAUGCCAUCCCUAAAAAUGAAGAGCAAAGUAAGCGUGAGCUGUUUAACAGAAACAAAGGAUCUUCAUGUGUGUCCGAAAUCAAAAAUAAUUUCCAAAAGCCCGUGUUCUAAAAUCAUGAUUUCUACACAAAAGGCUGAAAUAGACACCACUGUUCAAAAUUGCCUAGAUGUUUCCUCAAGGACGCAGCCCAAAGACAUUGCAUGUGAUCAAUCUAUUGAUAACAAAGAAUUUCUGGAUAAAGAAAACUCUGAAUCUGAGCACCAAUUUUCUGUUUGUUCCUCUGUCCUGGGAAAAAUGGAACUAACCAACACCUGCACAGCAAACUUAGAAACAAUUUUUUCUCCUGCUUUUGAGCCCAUUGAAGUCCAUUCACAACAUUAUACUGAGAAAGAUGCAGUGAGCAUUGGUGAUACAAACAUGGCCGAAGUGGGAGCUGAUGAAGGAAGAAGCAUAUGUGGUUAUGAAACAUGCGAUGUAUCAGACUUCUACAUUUCUGACAUGAUCAUUACAAACUUACCCUUUGGGGGGAAUUCCUUUGAUGAUGAUAUCAGUGAAACCAACUGCCUAUCUGAUUAUGGAUCUACUGAGCCAUCCAUGUUUACCGCGUCUGAACAGUACAUGAUCCUGCCUGCUCUUGAAGAUGAUAUUAAAGUUGGCACUACUUCUGAUAUCAUAUCAUAUGAAGAAACCAUGAUGGUUCGAGAAAGUGCUAGUUUGUAUUCAGCAAUGGGUCAGAUAAGAUCCUGCAACCAGGAGUCUGAUGUUAAAAGUGACUUGGAUAAAUCAGAGUGCUUUGAUCCACAGUCAUUUAUCAAGAAUUUACCAGAACUAUCAGAAAUAGAAGUAAAUGGGAAGCCAACCCUAAUUCCUAAGCAAUCUCCUAGAAGAAAGUCAAUAACUCUGGUGCUGGACUUAGAUGAGACACUUGUUCAUUCUACAUUGGAACACUGUGAUGAUGCGGAUUUCACUUUUACUGUCUUCUUCAAUUUGAAAGAGUACAUAGUAUAUGUAAAACAGAGGCCUUAUCUCCACACAUUCUUGGAGAGGGUAUCAGAGAUGUUUGAAGUAGUAAUUUUUACUGCCAGCCAAAGCAUAUAUGCAAAGCAACUACUUGAUAUAUUAGAUCCUGAUGGAAGAUUUAUUUCUCGUCGCAUGUAUCGAGAAUCAUGCCUUUUUUCAGAUGGAAAUUACACAAAAGAUCUUACUAUAUUAGGUGUUGAUCUUGCAAAAGUUGCCAUAAUUGAUAAUUCACCUCAGGUUUUCCGAUUGCAAGUGAAUAAUGGUAUUCCUAUAAAGAGUUGGUUUGAUGAUCCAUUAGAUUGUGCACUGAUGUCAUUACUUCCCUUUCUAGAGACCUUGGCUGAUGCUGAUGAUGUCCGUCCUAUCAUUGCAAAGAGAUAUGGUAACAAAGAAUAAGGUUUCUCAUUAGACCAAAUUUAGCAGAUCUUCUCCUUUCUUCUAGGAUUAAGAAAAAUUUGGCCUCUAAUUACAUGUUAAAGUCUCCUUUUCAUUUGAGUUUGAGAUGAAUUAACCUAUACAAUAAACUAUUGGUUAUCUUAUUGUUGAGUCCAGAAUUGGUUCCCCUUCUCUCAGUUGACAAAUGUGGAGUUCUGUGUUUCUCUCGAAAGGUCUGAGUGGGAAGUCAUCAUCCUUAAUAAUUUCAAUUGAGUUGUCAAGAUCUGAGGUAAUAAACCAGCUUCCUCUUUCAUUUUUCCCCCCCUUUUUUCUUUGAACUAACUUAUUAUUAAAUUUCAUAUUCAAGAUUAUCCUGUACUGGGUUCUGGUUCUAGCAAUCAUUUAGUAUAUCUACUAAAUUGUCUUCUAAGCACCAAGUGGCCUGUCGCAAUGUUUUAUCUUGAACCAGAGCAUUUCCUUGACACACGUGCACAUCCCUGUUCUUAAGGUUCAUAGGUAAAAGACUUUCUGUAAAUGAUCAAAGCAGUUCCCACAGGUGGAGAGAGAAUAUUGAAAUUCAGUAAACAUCCUUUAGCAUCACAGAUUUGGCCGUACUGCUAUAUACUUUACUAGCAAUAAAUUUACUUUUAUCAUCUUUUAUGAUGGUACGUGGGUGGUUAACAAGUAUCAUUGAUUGAGACUGGCAUUUGUUUGGUGUAUAUUAGAAAAGAGACAUUAAGAUUGAAUUUCCUAUACGACAAUGAGUUUGUUUCAAUGGUUUACAUAUUAAUAGGAUAUCCCUAAUGCUUUGGCUGGCAACUGGAGGAUGUUGAAAACUCGUGUUGUCUAUGGUUCUGAAUCUUCCGAUAUAUUUUUAUUAAGAUCAGAUGUCUUAUGCAGCCAAUAGCCAUAUUAAUGUACCCCUCCAGAUUGAAUUACCUUAUUGCAGUGGACUUGUUUGAGGUAAUCUAACAAAAACAGUCUUAUCCCACUAGGAGGUAAUCUAUUUUAAAAGAACUAAAAUUAUUAUUAUCAUUAUCAUCGGUCUGCUACAGUGGAUAUGAAACUGAAAUCAAUGCAACUAAAUGUUAGCAAAUGGAAGGCUUGGAAGUUGAGUAUUUGUGCAUAUGGUAUGACAUUUAUGCUAUAAGGACAGCAUUCUGAUUAUGUGGUUUGGUUGUUCUAGAAGAGAGGCUUUGAUAUGAUUUUUAUAUAUUUCUUUUUAUCUGUCCGACAUUCCUUUAGGUUUGAAUUUUAAGUUCAUGGACUUGUCCUGUAUAAAAUAGCUGACUAUCACUGCUUUGAUGAAUGCCUGCUGUUCCUUGCUAUCUUCAUAUGCUUUCAUGAUUUUGCAUAUUCUCUGCAGGUUGGUGAAGAAAAUUUUAUUAGAUUAUCCCUCUAAUGGCUGUUUGAUAGGUAUGUAAACUUUGAUUGCACAAGAGUCCUGUAGAUAUAUGCUAAAGUUAAUUAUCUGGUCAUAAUAUUUUACACAUGUUUCACCUUCAUUGCAAGGUGGUGUGAAUUUGUAAAAUCUAAGUUAGUUCAUUCUUCAUUCCCUGGCCAUUUGAAAUUGUCUUCACAAUUGGCCGUGAUAGUGUUGAGAAAAUAGUCAAUUUAAAAAUGUUUCUCUGCUUCCUUUUUGCUUGAAUACAAAAAUUUGGUCGAGUUAAAUGCUGAAUACCUAUGUAAAUUCUAGGAAGAAGGUAGAUGAAGGUUUUUUUUGUUAACCUUCAUCUUUAGUUAAAUGCUGAUAGUUUAAUGUGAUAUAACGUGGGUUUAUUUAUUU